CUUCUUUUUCUCUGUCGCCUCUCUCUCUUUUAGCAGAAGAGUGGACGAUGAUGUUUUGGGAUUGAGCUUCACCAAGGAGAAAGCAAAGGCAGCAAAGCAUUUUUUAUGAUGAUGAUAAAGGAGAUUUCUUGAUAUUUUGAUCUGGAGCUUGGGAAAAUCAAGACUAAAUGUUUUGCUGCAAGAGAGUGUAAUGGUGGACGACAUGAAUGGCACAACAGGGAGCCAUUGAGCCAGUUCAACGUUGGGGACUGAUUGAGUGAAGCAACAACGGUAAAUAAUCGACUUAUGGAACUUUCAUGUGAAAGCUAAUUUCUUCCACGGAUCAAGGGAGUUUGUGUUAAAUGCAUUUUUAGAAUUCCGUAUUUUGUAGUUGGGGCACAUGUAUAUGUCAUAUGUUGUGACAUUUUGAUUUAUCUACAAGUUGCAGAGAGAAUGUUGUGGCUGGUGAUUUUACUGCUGAUAUGGGUCGCAGAUUUCUUCAUCUCCCUCUGUGAGAAACUGAAUAAAUCUUCCCCUACGAAGUGUUUGGCUAACACACCAAAGAAAAAUAACAAAUCACUAGGAUCCCACAAUUAUUGGAUAGAGGACUUUCAUAGGACAUGGAAAAUGGCGUUGUAAGCAUUAACUGGAACAGAAAAAAAAAAUAGAGAGAGGCGACAGAGAAAAACUGUGUUGUGUAUAUAUGGUAUACAAUCACCAUAUAAGUUUAAGUUAAUAUCGAGACAAAAUGUGUUGUGUAUAUAUGGUGAAAUAAAGAAGAGAAUAAACAUAAGAAACAUGAAGAACAAGCUCUUCAAGUCACUGUUCAUGAACUCAUAAAAGGGUAAACUAAUGAAAGUGUUACAGUUGGUCGAGUGUUUAGAGUGGAAGACUCAUAAUAAGAUUGACAAGAAACCAAGAGUCAAGUCAUUGUACAUGAAAGAGAUUUUGAAGAGAUUUAACACAACAUCUAAAGAAAUUAUUCAAACAUCACGGGAAAACUAUACGAGUUUGUGCUCUACGCAUACAUAGAGGACAAGCGUCAUAAGAGCCAUGAGUGGCAAUAAAAGAUGUGUGAUCGGUGGUAUGCUUCAUUUGAGUAAUCAUUUUUUUGUAUAUUCUCUUUCAUCAGAUUUUUUUUCUUUGUAUUCUUUUUCUAACUAACAGUAUCAAGAAUCAAGGUUUUGAUGGAAUAUGUUUCUAAUCUGAAUCAGUACAUCAUUUGUUUCUAUUAAGAUCUUA